rnacentral:rRNA from 1 species
UACAGGGGGUGCAAGCGUUGCUCGGAAUCACUGGGCGUAAAGCGUGCGCAGGCGGACCGUUAAGUCGGGUGUGAAAUCCCGGGGCUCAACCCCGGAACUGCAUUCGAUACUGCCGUGCUUGAGGACUGGAGAGGAGACUGGAAUUUACGGUGUAGCGGUGAAAUGCGUAGAUAUCGUAAGGAAGACCAGUGGCGAAGGCGGGUCUCUGGACAGUUCCUGACGCUGAGGCACGAAGGCCAGGGGAGCAAACGGG